rnacentral:rRNA from 1 species
ACGUAGGACGCAAGCGUUAUCCGGAGUUACUGGGCGUAAAGCGCGGGCAGGCGGACGCGCAAGUCGGACGUGAAAGCCGCUGGCUUAACUGGCGGAGGCCGUUCGAAACUGCGUGUCUGGAGGGCAGGAGAGGUGCGUGGAAUUCCGGGUGGAGUGGUGAAAUGCGUAGAGAUCCGGAGGAACACCAGAGGCGAAAGCGGCGCACCGGACUGCACCUGACGCUGAACCGCGAAAGCCAGGGGAGCGAACGGGA